CCUACGGGAUGCACCAGUAGGGAAUCUUCCGCAAUGGACGAAAGUCUGACGGAGUAACGCCGCGUGAGUGAUGAAGGCUUUCGGGUCGUAAAACUCUGUUGUUAGGGAAGAACAAGUGCUAGUUGAAUAAGCUGGCACCUUGACGGUACCUAACCAGAAAGCCACGGCUAACUACGUGCCAGCAGCCGCGGUAAUACGUAGGUGGCAAGCGUUAUCCGGAAUUAUUGGGCGUAAAGCGCGCGCAGGUGGUUUCUUAAGUCUGAUGUGAAAGCCCACGGCUCAACCGUGGAGGGUCAUUGGAAACUGGGAGACUUGAGUGCAGAAGAGGAAAGUGGAAUUCCAUGUGUAGCGGUGAAAUGCGUAGAGAUAUGAAGGAACACCAGUGGCGAAGGCGGCCAACUGGCUCGAUACUGACGCUGAGGUGCGAAAGCGUGGGGAGCAAACAGGAUUAGAUACCCCAGUAGUC
rnacentral:rRNA from 1 species